GUGCCAAGCUUUUCCGUCCCUCAACACCAACACCACCCCCACCUAUACCCCCUCAGACCAACCUAUUCCUUUAUUGAUUUGCAUUUCGCACAGUGAAAUUAUUGGCUCUGGAAUUUAUUGAAACUUUUAUACAUUUUUGGCCAGCUAACUCACGUGCCCAACAUACAAACCACACACAAACAUGAAUACCCAAAAAAAUUUAUAAGCUUCUUGUCACUAAUCAAUCACGGGGCAUUUUCCUUUUUUUAUACAUUUUCCCUAACACCUGAAAAACUAAGUACAUUUCGGGCGAAAAAUUGCAAAAACAGGGCUACAAAAAUAACACAAGCGAAAAUUGUGGCUACGGUUUCGGUUAAUUUCCCUCUAAAUAAUGCAAUACAUUUUUAUUUCCACGAACCACGAAAAUUACCACACUCAUCCUGCGGAUUAAACAACAACCACAACAACAACAAUUAUAUCUACGAAUUGCGUUGUAUGAAACGAACCGACAACGACGAUGACGACGAUCUGUGGGAUUAACUCGCCCUGGAACUGAACGAUGGAUCUAGCAGAUCAAAUCGAUGACUAUAUCUGUUCGUUCGAGGGACUUGGUGACUUAACAAUGGACUCCCUGGCCAUCUUCAUUUUCCUGUGGGCCGUCCUGGCUCUCUUCUCCGUGUGGCUGAUCAAGCUGCUCUACCAUAAGUAUCUCAACAAGGACAAGACGUCCAGUGCGUCCAAUAGUCGUCAGACGAGUGUGUCCCCCACCUCAGGAUCACCCUCAUCUGUUGCCGGCAAGACCGAGAAGCGUCUCUCGGAGCCGCGUGAUCUGCUGGCCACCAAGAGCAAGGUUGAGGAUUUAUCCAAGCCUUUGACUGGCGGAUCUGGAGGACGAGGUCGUUCCUCAGCCUCGCCAUUGAACUCUGCUGGUCCAGCUGCCGGCGGUCCACGUCGCAGGGUGGUGCGCCAGAGUUCCACUGGGCCAGAGAAUCGCAAGAAGCGCUAUGUCCCACCGCCCUCUAAUGUCGUGGGUCCAGAAACGAGCUCCGUCACCUGGACCAGUCAGGUGUUCCGCUGGCUUUACAGCGACCUGGUCAUCGUCAACGAGCUGCUCAUGUCCUGGGUGAUUGCCAUUAACGACACGCUGCGCAAGUCUGUGGAGGAGCACGGAGUGGCCGUUGAAGUGGUUCGUGUGCUACCAGACAGUCCUGCGCCCGGCUUGAAUAAUAUCUUCUGUAAUUGCGAUGAGAACAAUCCAGCUGAUAUGCUCAUCACCUUUGACUGCGAUGCCAUGCCAGUGCUGCAGGUUAAGACCUUCCGCCAGAAGGCGGGCAAGGUAGAGACGUCCCACUAUAAGGUCACCGUGUCUAGGUUCCGCGCCCGUAUGGCCAUUCCCAUGAACUACAACACCCUCAAGGGCGAGAUGCGAGUGGAGGGCUAUCCGGAUGUUCGCAUUGCGAUGAACAGCGUUGGUGCCAUUAAGGCGAUGGACCAGGAUGAACAGCAGUUGCAGACGGUGAUCAGCGACAUCCUGACGACUGCUUUGCGUGACACCGUUUACCCAGUGGACUUCUCCAUCUACUCCACCUGCCCCAGGGCCGAGGUGGAGCCUCUGGACCUGCCCGUAAUCUAUCCCGUUCACUAUGAUUCGCUGGCGCACAACAUGGAGCAGCACCUGGGCGGCGUUGGACUGAGGGACUCGCAGCACAUGGUUUCAGGACGUCGGCUGUUGGUGAAGAUCGUCAAGGGUGAGGGUAUAAGGGAUGCCCAUGAUCCUUAUGUGGUCAUCGAGAUGGACGAGCCGGCUCAGAAGAACCAGACGGGCACUCAGCGCGGCAGCAAACCCUUCUGGGAUGAGCACUUCCUCUUUGAACUCUCCCCCCAAUCAGCCGAGAUCCUGUUUGAGGUUUAUGACCAUCCGGUGAUUGCCUCCGAUCCGCCCAAGUUCCUGGGUCUCGGCCUGGUUGGAAUCGAUGAGCUGGCCGUGGGACCAGCUUCCACUCAGCUACUGCAGCUCCAGCCAAGACCCUAUGAGACACAGCCCGUUUCGGGAGCAAUCACUGUGGACUUUGUGUUCAUCGAGGGAGCCGAAAUCCCGGCUGGCACCCGUCCCCAGCGUCUGAAGGAGGCACUGCGUCUCAGCACACCGGCCAUCAACGAACACAUCAGGAAUGGAUCAGAUCUGGCAGAUGCGGCAGUGAGAGCUCUGCAGGAUGGAGCGCUCUCGGGCAGCGGAAGUGGUGGUCAGCCCAGCAAGAGCACUUUGAUCAUCCACAGUGUCCAGCGAAACUCGAGCAGCCCGAAUGCAUUUAAGGUCGAGGUGAACAAAGAGGGCCAAAUCGAGGUGAUCGAAACGGCAACGGAACUGGACCAGGCCGUGGCCCAGGCCUUCGAGCGGGCAGCCAACGAGGCCAAGAAUGAGCUCGAAUUGGAGCAGGCCAAGGAGGAGAAGGCCAGCCAAUUGGGCGAAACUCUCAACGAUUCAGGUAACGGCACCGUCAACGAGGAAAGCACCGCGGAGUUUGGCCAACCCAAUGCAGCCUCAUCGCCCAAUGGCAGUAGUAGUUACCACAACAACUAUAGUCUCAAUGGUAAUGGCAACACCAAUGGCGCCGGAUCUGGUGGUUAUAGCAGCCUGCCAAGGAAUGGGGGUGCCCAGCAGCUGGCUCAGCACAACUCGGGAUUGAUUGAGGGUCAUGAUGUGGUCGACGAUCGCGGGCGCAGCAAAAAACGUAAUUUCUUUGGCACCCUGAAGAAGCGGCUAAGCCGCUCCAAGACACGUACCCUAUCGGCCGAUCAGCCCAAUAAUAACAGUCAUAAGUCACUAUCAGCCACCAACUCGAAUACAGCAACAGCCACCGGAUUCCCUCGAACAGCCACCGGAACCCUCAAUGGUGAUUCUUCCCGUUCAUUAUCUGUCGAUCGUGCCACUCUGUCCAAAAGCAAUUCACUUGGACCCCGCAUGGGCAUUGGUCACUCCAUCACCGACCACUCACGCCGCUCCUCAAUUUCAGAAUCCUCGGCCAUCUCAGGUUUUUCCUCGGCUAGCAAUAAGACCUACGUGCACGAGGCCUCCACCCUGGUGCUGGAGACGGUUGAGAAUGGCAUAAAGCGCCACUUUAUUGUGCCUUUGGCCAUCGCCCAGAGACCGCGCUGGCGUCGCAAGGGCACCAAGCUGCACAUCUACAACGAUCACACCUUCAUCGCCAAGCAUUUGAGCGGAAGCGGCCUACAGUGCUCCAUCUGCAUGAAGUCCAUCCCGCGAAGGCCUGGUAAGCAGGGCUACGAGUGCCGCGACUGCCAGCUGAUCUGUCACAAGCAGUGCCACAUACGGGCGCCCCAAGCAUGUCCCAAUCCCACGGUGCUCUCCAUGGAACUAACGUCAUUUCCGGUACUCACAGAGAGAGAUCUGAACCUAGUUAACUAAAUCCUUAUUUUGUGUCCUCUCCAAACGUUAUGAAUAUUUUCUUCUUUUGUAAAAGCCUUAAAGUCCGCCAAAUGCAGUUUGAUAUUAUUACCAAGAGCAAAUUUUUGAUUUACUCAUCCCUCUGUGGCUUUGACUUUGCUUUUCCGGCUUUCGCUCACAUCCCAGAGAUCAUUGCACUUUCACCUCGCUUGGCCACGCUGUUUUCAUUUCGUGUAUAUACUUUCCGGGCACUAAUUCGAGCUCUUUUUCUCAUCACAAACCUCUCACCACAAAUACAAAAAAUAAAAAACCACCAACAAACAUGGACACAGGAUGGCCAGUGAGGAGUAGAAAGUCUCAGCCAACAUCACAGCACCUUUUAGCCAGAAAAAUCCAUAGAAAUACCAUUCUUAAAUGCUACCCAAGCGAUGUGCGAGGUCAUUCUGAUGCCAGAAAUAUAUUUUAAAAAAGAAAAACAUACACAAUCCCUCUUCGAUAUAAAAAAGAAAAUAAAAACUACAGGGUUCUAGAUUCGUUCAGCUGCAGUUUUGAGAGAGGUUCGAGCGUUUUCCAGUUGACCCUUUGGCAACUGGAAAAUCGGGAACCAAACUUAAUUCGGCUGCGGCGGACCGCAGUAUACGGAAGCUGUGAAUAGGGGCUAGUCCCCGGAUAAUCCCAUCGGAUCCAUCCAGCCCUUAACCGAGAAACCUUAAUCGAAAUACUACCCUAGUUACAUAGAUUAGACGAAGGAGCUGUGCUAACUAUCUUCUUCUGCUAUGGAAAUCCUCGAUAUAUUACGUUAUUUAUUUAUACACUCACGCGAACACAACAACACACACCCAACACAAACACACACAGCGACCCACACACAUGUGCAAUAAUUUCUUCGGAUUCGUUUUUUAACCCAUUUCUCCGUGUCAACGUGCUCGAGCCCUUUGAUAUUUUGUAUUUUCUACAAACACGAAUAAUAAUUGUACAAAAUAAAAUGC